AUCCUGAUAGCUCAGCUGGUAAAGAAACUGCCUGCAAUGCAGGAGACCCUGGUUCAAUUCCUGGUUUGGAAA
rnacentral:tRNA from 1 species